rnacentral:rRNA from 1 species
UACGGAGGAUCCAAGCGUUAUCCGGAUUCAUUGGGUUUAAAGGGUGCGUAGGCGGAAUGGUAAGUCAGUGGUGAAAGCCCUUCGCUUAACGAAGGAACUGCCUCUGAUACUGCCAAUCUUGAGUACAUUUGAUGUGGGCGGAAUGUGUCAUGUAGCGGUGAAAUGCUUAGAUAUGACACAGAACACCGAUUGCGAAGGCAGCUCACAAAACUGUAACUGACGCUGAGGCACGAAAGCGUGGGGAUCAAACAGG